AUGGAGCGAUGUCAUGACUGUCCAUGCAGCACGCCACUGAUACAGUUGACUUUGAAGGAGGUCAAGAAUGGAAACUAUGUGCGCGAGUUCAUGAAAUGCGAGAGCAAGCGAGAGGGGCAGAUCGUGAAGAAAUGCACACAUUUUGAAUGGUUGGAUGACUAUGUUAAGCGGAUUCAAUUCAAUGGGCCCCAACCCGGGAGCUCAAUCUGCCAUCAGCACCAACGAAUUUGGUCUCUGAAAGUUCUGCUCUGA
rnacentral:rRNA from 1 species